rnacentral:rRNA from 1 species
AUGCAAGUCGAACGGUAACAUUUCUAGCUUGCUAGAAGAUGACGAGUGGCGGACGGGUGAGUAAUGCUUGGGAACUUGCCUUUGCGAGGGGGAUAACAGUUGGAAACGACUGCUAAUACCGCAUAAUGUCUUCGGACCAAACGGGGCUUCGGCUCCGGCGCAAAGAGAGGCCCAAGUGAGAUUAACUAGUUGGUAAGGUAACGGCUUACCAAGGCGACGAUCUCUAGCUGUUCUGAGAGGAAGAUCAGCCACACUGGGACUGAGACACGGCCCAGACUCCUACGGGAGGCAGCAGUGGGGAAUAUUGCACAAUGGGGGAAACCCUGAUGCAGCCAUGCCGCGUGUGUGAAGAAGGCCUUCGGGUUGUAAAGCACUUUCAGUUGUGAGGAAAAGUUAGUAGUUAAUACCUGCUAGCCGUGACGUUAACAACAGAAGAAGCACCGGCUAACUCCGUGCCAGCAGCCGCGGUAAUACGGAGGGUGCGAGCGUAAAUCGGAAUUACUGGGCGUAAAGCGCCAUGCAAUGCGGAU